rnacentral:rRNA from 1 species
UACGAAGGGGGCUAGCGUUGCUCGGAAUCACUGGGCGUAAAGGGUGCGUAGGCGGGUCUUUAAGUCAGGGGUGAAAUCCUGGAGCUCAACUCCAGAACUGCCUUUGAUACUGAGGACCUUGAGUUCGGGAGAGGUGAGUGGAACUGCGAGUGUAGAGGUGAAAUUCGUAGAUAUUCGCAAGAACACCAGUGGCGAAGGCGGCUCACUGGCCCGAUACUGACGCUGAUGCACGAAAGCGUGGGGAGCAAACAGG